rnacentral:pre_miRNA from 1 species
CAUUAUUAUAGUUUUGUACCGUUUAUAUCCAACGUUUGAUCGUUCGUUUUAUUUAAAAAUUUUUAUAAUUAAUAUUUUGUUGUUAGUAGAUAAUAAAACAUAAAUAAUAUUUUUAUGUGCGACUAUUUUUAAAAAAAAUAUAAAAUUUUUAAAUAAGAUGAACGGUCAAAUGUUAGACAACACUUAAA